UACGUAGGGGGCAAGCGUUGUCCGGAAUCACUGGGCGUAAAGGGCGCGUAGGCGGUGCGGUAAGCGUGCGGUGAAAGCUCGGGGCUCAACCCCGAGUCGGCCGUGCGAACUGCUGGACUGGAGCAUGUCAGAGGCGGGUGGAAUUCCGGGUGUAGCGGUGGAAUGCGUAGAGAUCCGGAAGAACACCGGUGGCGAAGGCGGCCCGCUGGGACAUAGCUGACGCUGAGGCGCGACAGCGUGGGGAGCAAACAGG
rnacentral:rRNA from 1 species